rnacentral:misc_RNA from 1 species
GAUGAAGAACGUAGCGAAAUGCGAUAAGUAAUGUGAAUUGCAGAAUUCAGUGAAUCAUCGAAUCUUUGAACGCACCUUGCGCCCUUUGGCUAUUCUGAAGGGCAUGCCUGUUUGAGUAUCGUGAACACCUCAACUCUCAUGGUCUGCCAUGAUGAGCUUGGACUUUGGGGGUCUUGCUGGCCUACUGUCAGCUCCUCUCAAAUGAAUCAGCUUACCAGUGUUUGGUGGCACCACAGGUGUGAUAACUAUCUACGCUUGUGGUUUUCUGCCAGGUAACCUCCAGUGAUGGAGGUUCGCUGGAGCUCACAACUGUCUCUCCUCAGCGAGGACAGCUUUUUGAACGUUUGAUCUCAAAUCAGGUAGGACUACCCGCUGAACUUAAGCAUAUCAAUAAGCGGAGGA